UGUUUGAUGCUUUAUUCCAUUAGUAUAAUAUUUUUUGUAUUUAGGUUAAAGCAUCUGCAUCCUGUGUUUCUAGUGAUGUGCUUUGGUGGCCAAUAUCUGUCUAAUUGCUCUUGUGCAAAUUGAUUGAGCAUAAAAUAUACGGUCUUGUGGUUUGGUAGGUGAUGGUCAUGGUUCCACUACGAUGCCCUUGGUUUGAGGGUUGUUUUAUCGUGUGUUCCUCGAUAUUUCAUGGGAUAUAUG
rnacentral:misc_RNA from 1 species